rnacentral:rRNA from 1 species
GAUGAACGCUGGCGGCGUGCCUAAUACAUGCAAGUCGAGCGAAUGGAUUAAGAGCUUGCUCUUAUGAAGUUAGCGGCGGACGGGUGAGUAACACGUGAGUAACCCGCCCAUAAGACUGGGAUAACUCCGGGAAACCGAGGCUAAUACCGGAUAACAUUUUGAACCGCAUGGUUCGAAAUUGAAAGGCGGCUUCGGCUGUCACUUAUGGAUGGACCCGCGUCGCAUUAGCUAGUUGGUGAGGUAACGGCUCACCAAGGCAACGAUGCGUAGCCGACCUGAGAGGGUGAUCGGCCACACUGGGACUGAGACACGGCCCAGACUCCUACGGGAGGCAGCAGUAGGGAAUCUUCCGCAAUGGACGAAAGUCUGACGGAGCAACGCCGCGUGAGUGAUGAAGGCUUUCGGGUCGUAAAACUCUGUUGUUAGGGAAGAACAAGUGCUAGUUGAAUAAGCUGGCACCUUGACGGUACCUAACCAGAAAGCCACGGCUAACUACGUGCCAGCAGCCGCGGUAA